rnacentral:rRNA from 1 species
AGUGAACGCUGGCGGUAGGCCUAACACAUGCAAGUCGAACGGCAGCACAGAGGAGCUUGCUCCUUGGGUGGCGAGUGGCGGACGGGUGAGGAAUACAUCGGAAUCUACUCUGUCGUGGGGGAUAACGUAGGGAAACUUACGCUAAUACCGCAUACGACCUACGGGUGAAAGCAGGGGAUCUUCGGACCUUGCGCGAUUGAAUGAGCCGAUGUCGGAUUAGCUAGUUGGCGGGGUAAAGGCCCACCAAGGCGACGAUCCGUAGCUGGUCGGAGGGGAUGAUCAGCCACACUGGAACUGAGACACGGUCCAGACUCCUACGGGAGGCAGCAGUGGGGAAUAUUGGACAAUGGGCGCAAGCCUGAUCCAGCCAUACCGCGUGGGUGAAGAAGGCCUUCGGGUUGUAAAGCCCUUUUGUUGGGAAAGAAAUCCAUCUGGUUAAUACCCGGGUGGGAUGACGGUACCCAAAGAAUAAGCACCGGCUAACUUCGUGCCAGCCGCCGCGGUAA